GGCAGAAGUGGCAGCAUGCCCAGAGCUCACUGGGGAAGAAGACUUCCCAGCCCUGCACCCGCUCUCCAUACCCAGAUUACUUCGCUCACUCUGAUCUCAAGGACAGAGUCAUUGCCUCACAGGACCCACAAGAUUUCACCUGGAGUGCAGCAGUAAUGCCAAGGACUUCCAGAGUCCCCUGCUCCCAGCAGCACCCUCUGGCAGCACCAACUAGAACCAGCAAGGCAUCUGCGAUAUAGAUUUUCCUGAAAGGACUGGUCCCCAGGCCCAGAAGAGUCAAAUGUCCAACAGCAGCUCCAGCACUGAGUUCCUCCUCCUGCCAUUUGCAGACACACGGGAGCUGCAGCUCCUGCACUUCGCGCUCUUCCUGGGCAUCUACCUGGCUGCCCUCCUGGGCAACG